rnacentral:rRNA from 1 species
GACGAACGCUGGCGGCGUGCUUAACACAUGCAAGUCGAGCGGUAAGGCCCUUUCGGGGGUACACGAGCGGCGAACGGGUGAGUAACACGUGGGUGACCUGCCCUUAGCUCUGGGAUAAGCCUGGGAAACUGGGUCUAAUACCGGAUAUGACUCCAUGACGCAUGUUGUGGGGUGGAAAGCCUUGUGCGGCUAGGGAUGGGCCUGCGGCCUAUCAGCUUGUUGGUGGGGUGAUGGCCUACCAAGGCGACGACGGGUAGCCGGCCUGAGAGGGCGACCGGCCACACUGGGGACUGAGACACGGCCCAGACUCCUACGGGAGGCAGCAGUGG